UGGCUCAGGACGAACGCUGGCGGCGUGCUUCAUACAUGCAAGUCGAACGAUAAGGUUCCUUCGGGAAUACAUAAGUGGCGGACGGGUGAGUAAUAUGUAGAGAAUCUGCCCUGAAGAGGGGGACAACAGAGGGAAACUUCUGCUAAUACCCAUAUGCGCGUAGUUGGGAUACUAUUCGUGAAAGAUUUAUCGCUUCAGGAUGAGUCUGCAUCUGAUUAGCUAGUUGGGGGUGUAAUGGACCACCAAGGCGACGAUCAGUAGCUGGUUUGAGAGGAUGAUCAGCCACAAUGGGACUGAGACACGGCCCAUACUCCUACGGGAGGCAGCAGUAGGGAAUUUUGCGCAAUGGGCGAAAGCCUGACGCAGCAACGCCGCGUGAUCGCAGACGGCCUUCGGGUUGUAAAGAUCUGUCAGCAGGGACGAACAAUGACUGUACCUGCAGAGGAAGCACCGGCUAACUCCGUGCCAGCAGCCGC
rnacentral:rRNA from 1 species